rnacentral:rRNA from 1 species
GUGUCAGCCGCCGCGGUAAUACCAGCACCCCGAGUGGUCGGGAUGAUUAUUGGGCCUAAAGCAUCCGUAGCCGGUGUAACAAGUCCUCCGUUAAAUCCACCUGCUUAACAGGUGGGCUGCGGAGGAUACUGUUACACUGGGAGGCGGGCGAGGCGAGGGGUAUUCCACGGGUAGGGGUAAAAUCCUCUGAUCCGUGGAGGACCACCAGUGGCGAAGGCGCCUCGCCGGAACGCGCUCGACGGUGAGGGAGGAAAGCUGGGGGAGCAAACCGGAUUAGAUACCCGGGUAGGCCCAGCCGUAAACGAUGUAGGCUCGGUGAGGGACUGGCUCCGAGCCAGUCCAGUGCCGCAGGGAAGCCGUUAAGCCUACCGCCUGGGGAGUACGGCCGCAAGGCUGAAACUCAAAGAAUUGACGGGG